rnacentral:rRNA from 1 species
GAAGUUAGCGGCGGACGGGUGAGUAACACGUGGGUAACCUGCCCAUAAGACUGGGAUAACUCCGGGAAACCGGGGCUAAUACCGGAUAACAUUUUGAACUGCAUGGUUCGAAAUUGAAAGGCGGCUUCGGCUGUCACUUAUGGAUGGACCCGCGUCGCAUUAGCUAGUUGGUGAGGUAACGGCUCACCAAGGCAACGAUGCGUAGCCGACCUGAGAGGGUGAUCGGCCACACUGGGACUGAGACACGGCCCAGACUCCUACGGGAGGCAGCAGUAGGGAAUCUUCCGCAAUGGACGAAAGUCUGACGGAGCAACGCCGCGUGAGUGAUGAAGGCUUUCGGGUCGUAAAACUCUGUUGUUAGGGAAGAACAAGUGCUAGUUGAAUAAGCUGGCACCUUGACGGUACCUAACCAGAAAGCCACGGCUAACUACGUGCCAGCAGCCGCGGUAAUACGUAGGUGGCAAGCGUUAUCCGGAAUUAUUGGGCGUAAAGCGCGCGCAGGUGGUUUCUUAAGUCUGAUGUGAAAGCCCACGGCUCAACCGUGGAGGGUCAUUGGAAACUGGGAGACUUGAGUGCAGAAGAGGAAAGUGGAAUUCCAUGUGUAGCGGUGAAAUGCGUAGAGAUAUGGAGGAACACCAGUGGCGAAGGCGACUUUCUGGUCUGUAACUGACACUGAGGCGCGAAAGCGUGGGGAGCAAACAGGAUUAGAUACCCCUGGUAGUCCACGCCGUAAACGAUGAGUGCUAAGUGUUAGAGGGUUUCCGCCCUUUAGUGCUGAAGUUUAACGCAUUAAGCACUCCCCCCUGGGGGAGUACCGGCCGCCAAGGCUGAAAACUCAAAGGGAAUUNGACCGGGGGGCCCCC